GUCCUGCGGCAGGUGCCUGGG
rnacentral:miRNA from 1 species